AGCAGCCGCGGUAAUUCCAGCUCCAAUAGCGUAUAUUAAAGUUGCUGCAGUUAAAAAGCUCGUAGUUGAAUUUCGGGACUAAUAUGUCGGUCGUGCCUCGGUACGUACUGGCUUAUUGGUUUCUCCUUUCUGAAGAACCAUGAUGUCAUUUAUUUGGUGUCGUGGGGAAUCAGGACUGUUACUUUGAAAAAAUUAGAGUGUUUAAAGCAGGCUCACGCUUGAAUACAUUAGCAUGGAAUAAUGAAAUAGGACGUUUGAUUCUAUUUUGUUGGUUUCUAGGAUCGACGUAAUGAUUAAUAGGGAUAGUUGGGGGCAUUAGUAUUCAAUUGUCAGAGGUGAAAUUCUUGGAUUUAUUGAAGACUAACUACUGCGAAAGCAUUUGCCAAGGAUGUUUUCAUCAAUCAAGAACGAAAGUUAGGGGAUCGAAGACGAUCAGAUACCGUCGUAGUCUUAACCAUAAACUAUGCCGACUAGGGAUCGGAUGAUGUUAAUUUUUUAAUGACUCAUUCGGCG
rnacentral:rRNA from 1 species